AGUGAACGCUGGCGGUAGGCCUAACACACGCAAGUCGAACGGCAGCACAGUAAGAUCUUGCUCUUACGGGUUGCGAGUGGCGGACGUGUGAGGAAUACAUCGUAAUCUACUUUUUCGGAGGGGAUAACGUAGGGAAACUUACGCUAAUACCGCAUACGACCUACGGUUGAAAGCAGGGGAUCUUCGGACCUUGCGCGAUUGAAUUAGCCGAUGUCGGAUUAGCUAGUUGGCGGGGUAAAGGCCCACCAAGGCGACGAUACGUAGCUGGUCUGAGAGGAUGGUCAGCCACACUGGAACUGAGACAGGGACAAGACUCCUACGGGAGGCAGCAGUGGGGAAUAUUGGACAAUGGGGGCAAGCAUGAUCCAGCCAUACCGAGUGGGUGAAGAAGGCGUUCGGGUUGUAAAGACCUUUUGUUGGGAAAGAAAAGCAGCCGGUUAAUACGACGCUGUUCUGACGGUACCCAAAGAAUAAGCACCGGCUAACUUCGUG
rnacentral:rRNA from 1 species